AACGAACGCUGGCGGCAGGCCUAACACAUGCAAGUCGAACGCCGUAGCGAUACGGAGUGGCAGACGGGUGAGUAACGCGUGGGAACAUACCCCUCGGUUCGGAAUAACUCAGGGAAACGUUAGAGCUAAUACCGGAUACGUCCAAGGUUUUAAUUCGACCUUGGAGAAAGAUUUAUUCGCCGGAGGAUUGGCCCGCGUCUGAUUAGCUUGUUGGUGAGGUAAUGGCUCACCAAGGCGACGAUCAGUAGCUGGUCUGAGAGGAUGAUCAGCCACAUUGGGAC
rnacentral:rRNA from 1 species